rnacentral:lncRNA from 1 species
CCAAGUGUGAAUGUAGGGAUUGGGGAGGUGGAUGAGUUGUGUUGUCAAAUUUUGUAUUUGUUAUAGUCACAAUGCGUUGUUGUGAGUUUUGUGGGUCCGGAUUGUGGUUUUGUGGUGUGGUUGUGUUGUUACAACUGAGAGGCAAGGCUUUUGUGUUGUGUUGCCAAGUUUUGUAUUUCUGGGGCGUUUAGUUGUGUUGUUAUAGUCAUGAUGCACUGUUGUGAGUUUUGUCGGUCCAGUGUGGUUUUGUGGUGUGGUUGUGUUGUUGUUACCUGGAGGCAAGCCUUUUGCAUUGUGUUGCCAAGUUUCGUAUUUCUGGGAUGUUUAGUUUUGUUGUUAUAGUCACUGCGCCCGCAACUUUAUCCUUUUUUAUAUAUAUAUAUAUAUAUAUAUAUAUAUAUAUAUAUAUAUAUAUAUAUAUUACAUGGAGGAAAUGUUAAAUGGGGCCGGGCUGUGGCGCAGCUGUUGAGCAACUGCCUUAAAUCACUCUGACCAUGAGGUCAUGAGUUCGAGGCCAGCCCGUGGCGGGGUGAGCACCCGUCAAUUAAAAAUAAAAAAUAGCCCCUGCUCGUUGCUGACCUAGCAACCCGAAAGAUAGUUGCAUCUAUCAAGUAGGAGAUAAGGUACCACUUAUAAAGUGGGGAGGCAAGAUUAACUAAUUUACGACCUGGAAUGAGGAAGUGCCGUCAGUGUGGAUGAUGAAGCAGCUGCUCCCCCCUGUGGCCAGAAUCGAACAUCCCCUCAGAAGAAGGUUAACUUGCCUCUGCGUGUCUCUCUCUGUCUCUGUUUGAUGUGUUUAUGGGCAUUGAAUGUUUGCCCUAUGUGUGUUAUAAUGUGAUCCGCCCUGAGUCCCCUUCGGGGUGAGAAGGGCGGAAUAUAAAUACUGUAAAUAAAAUAAAUAAAUAAAUAAUAAAUACUCCAUCAGAAACAUUUAUUUGACCUGACCCACACUAUAUUCUUUCUCUGCAGCUGUUUUCAACUGAAAUGCAUACUUGCAGAAGAUAUAAUAAUUGAUUUUUCCAGCAUCUUGUCUAGUUUUAUCCUUAUGUAAGUGUAAUUCAAGAAAAAAUUACUGUAAUCAGAGCCAAAGGUUUAAGUGGGAGAGAUUUACAUAUAUCAUUAAUCUUAGUGAAACUGAUAUGAGCACAAUUUUCUCUAGAUCAUGGCCACACUUUUUAAGAGGCUGCUCAGAGUAAUAAUAAUAAUAACAAUAAUAAUUUUUAAUAAUAUUUAUUUCUUACCCGCCUCUCCUUCAGGUGGGUCACAGCACAGUCAAAACACAUAAAUAUUGCUAUUAAAGUUUUUAACACCAAGAUAAGUACUUACUUUGUGUUUUUAAUCUGGAGAAAAUGUUGAACUAUCUGAGUGCCAAGACCUACAUAACACAUUCAUCAUCAAGUGUAACCAUCCAUCAGAUAUUGCUUCUCUAGCCCACUGAUGAGAAGUAUCCAGCAUCUGGCUUUCAGAGUGAGAUUGAGGGGACAUUCAGAACAAAAUGACCAGGUAGUU